GGAGGAAAGCAGGGGAUCGCAAGACCUUGCGCUUUUGGAGUGGCCGAUGCCUGAUUAGCUAGUUGGUGGGGUAAGAGCCUACCAAGGCGACGAUCAGUAGUUGGUCUGAGAGGACGACCAGCCACACUGGGACUGAGACACGGCCCAGACUCCUACGGGAGGCAGCAGUGGGGAAUUUUGGACAAUGGGCGAAAGCCUGAUCCAGCAAUGCCGCGUGAGUGAAGAAGGCCUUCGGGUUGUAAAGCUCUUUCAGUCGAGAAGAAAAGGUCGCGACUAAUAAUCGCGACUCAUGACGGUAUCGACAGAAGAAGCACCGGCUAACUACGUGCCAGCAGCCGCGGUAAUACGUAGGGUGCGAGCGUUAAUCGGAAUUACUGGGCGUAAAGGGUGCGCAGGCGGCUUUGUAAGUCAGAUGUGAAAUCCCCGGGCUUAACCUGGGAAUUGCGUUUGAAACUACAAGGCUAGA
rnacentral:rRNA from 1 species